GCAGCGGUGUCGCCGCCGCCGCCGACGGUGGCCUCGCCCAAGGCCGAUUCACUGGUGGACCUCCUCGAGGUGCCCGAUCUGAGUCAAUGCCACGCUCCAGCAUCACCUCCUCCAGCUUUGUCGCGGCGAGGACGGGAUCGGCCGAUGCGGCAUCAAGGCCUUCAGGGCGACAACGACAACACGCUAGACCUUUGGUCUCUGUACCGAUGGGACCAGGUCUCCCUUUCAUCGCCACCGAGUCUCACUGCCUCCGCCGUCCCCGGAGUUCGAUCUGGACCUUCUCCUCGACCCAGGGUCUCACACGGUUUAGCCCCUGAUGCAUAUUGAAGCAACGCAUUCAACAGUUGGGCUUUUGGACCAGAAUAGAAGGAAUGAGCUUUAUUUACUGGAUUGGUUGAGAGCUGGGUUUGGCUUUUAGGUCUGCUAGCUACUAUCGGUGGCACACCACAUGCAUCUCCACUUAAGACCUCCCCAACGCCCAAGGUAGCUGGCCUUUACAAAUAUUUUGUUGCUCAUUCUCUAUCCUAUACUGAAGUUGAUCUUGCUCAUGGCAGCUCAGAUGCAUUUCUGCUAAAAUCAUUACAUCUUGUGCUAGAGGAGUAAUAACUGCCGAUUCUUGUGCUGAUUCUCGUUAUGAAAGUUGUAUCUAUUAUGCUAUCUAGAGACAUUACUUGGAUCAUAGAUUAAAUCUCAUCGGUUCAUUUUGCCAUUUUGCUCUACAGUUUGUUCACACAUACAUUACAGUCUUGUGUUAUUCAGUAUGCAGCACGGCAUUUUCUUCUGUGGAGUCAAGUGAUAGUGUUAAGGAGUAUUAGUAUUGGGAAAAUCUUGAGCAAUUUCGAGUUGGUUUCACAUAUUUUGAUUAUCUUUAUGGGACUAGCAUAAGUAAACUUGGAUCUGUACCAAUAGAGGAGGGGAUGUCCUGUGAGACCAAGGUUGCGGCGGUAGCGCACUAUCGUGCUAGCG